rnacentral:rRNA from 1 species
CCUACGGGUGGCAGCAGUGAGGAAUAUUGGUCAAUGGACGAGAGUCUGAACCAGCCAAGUAGCGUGAAGGAUGACUGCCCUAUGGGUUGUAAACUUCUUUUAUAUGGGAAUAAAAUGUUCCACGUGUGGGAUUUUGUAUGUACCAUAUGAAUAAGGAUCGGCUAACUCCGUGCCAGCAGCCGCGGUAAUACGGAGGAUCCGAGCGUUAUCCGGAUUUAUUGGGUUUAAAGGGAGCGUAGGUGGAUUGUUAAGUCAGUUGUGAAAGUUUGCGGCUCAACCGUAAAAUUGCAGUCGAAACUGGCAGUCUUGAGUACAGUAGAGGUGGGCGGAAUUCGUGGUGUAGCGGUGAAAUGCUUAGAUAUCACGAAGAACUCCGAUUGCGAAGGCAGUUCACUGGACUGCAACUGACACUGAGGCUCGAAAGUGUGGGUAUCAAACAGGAUUAGAUACCCUAGUAGUC